UACGUAGGCAGCAAGCGUUGUUCGGAAUUACUGGGCGUAAAGCGUGCGUAGGCGGUGGCUCAAGUUUGGUGUGAAAUCUCCCGGCUCAACUGGGAGGGUGCGCCGAAAACUGAGUUGCUCGAGUGUGGGAGAGGUAGGCGGAAUUCCUGGUGUAGCGGUGAAAUGCGUAGAUAUCAGGAGGAACACCGGCGGUGUAGACGGCUUACUGGACCAUAACUGACGCUGAGGCACGAAAGUGUGGGGAGCAAAC
rnacentral:rRNA from 1 species